GCUGGGUGUGGUGGCGCACGCCUGUAGUCCCAGCUACUUGGGAGGCUGAGGCAGGAGAAUUGCUUGAACCCGGGAGGCAGAGGUUGUGGGGAGUCGAGAUCUCGCCAUUGCACUCCAGUCUGGGUAACAAGAGUGAAACUCCGUCUCGCUCUUUUUUUUUUUUUUUUUUUUUUUUGAGGCAGAGUCUUGCUUUGUCACCCAAGCUGGAGUGCUAUGGAGUGAUCUCGGCUCACCGCAACCUCCGCCUCCCGGGUUCAAGCAAUUCUCCUGCCUCAG
ensembl:misc_RNA Metazoa_SRP Metazoan signal recognition particle RNA